rnacentral:sRNA from 2 species
AUGUAUUACUACGCGUGCACUCCGUUGCUGAGCGUUCCGUCUAUAGCCACCUGGCGGUUGCUCGCUGCGGUUUGUGAGCC